UUCGGGUCACAUGAGAGAGUGGCGAACGGGUGCGUAACGCGUGAGAAACCUGCCCUAGAGACGGGAAUAACUCGAGGAAACUCGUGCUAAUGCCCGAUGCCCUCUUUGAACCGCAUGGUCCGCUGAGGAAAGGCUCCGGCGCUCUAGGAGGGUCUCGCGGCCCAUCAGCUUGUUGGUGAGGUAACGGCUCACCAAGGCAUCGACGGGUAGCUGGUCUGAGAGGACGAUCAGCCACACUGGGACUGAGACACGGCCCAGACUCCUACGGGAGGCAGCAGUAGGGAAUCUUGCGCAAUGGGCGAAAGCCUGACGCAGCAACGCCGCGUGGGGGAUGAAGGCCUUCGGGUCGUAAACCCCUUUCAGCAGGGACGAAACUGACGGUACCUGCAGAAGAAGGUCCGGCCAACUACGUGCCAGCAGCCGCGGUAAUACGUAGGGACCAAGCGUUGUCCGGAAUUAUUGGGCGUAAAGAGCUCGUAGGCGGUUCGGUAAGUCGGGUGUGAAAAUCCAGGGCUCAACCCUGGGACGCCACCCGAUACUGCUGUGACUAGAGUCCGGUAGAGGAGCGUGGAAUUCCUGGUGUAGCGGUGAAAUGCGCAGAUAUCAGGAGGAACACCAGCGGCGAAGGCGGCGCUCUGGGCCGGUACUGACGCUGAGGAGCGAAGGCGUGGGGAGCAAACAGGAUUAGAUACCCUGGUAGUCCACGCAGUAAACGUUGGGCACUAGGUAUGGGGUCUUAUCAACGGAUUCCGUGCCGUAGCUAACGCAUUAAGUGCCCCGCCUGGGGAGUACGGCCGCAAGGCUAAAACUCAAAGGAAUUGAC
rnacentral:rRNA from 1 species